rnacentral:lncRNA from 1 species
UGAGGGUCCGCGGCUUCAGUCUUGAAGUCAGUGAGACCAAGAACCCACCGAUUCCGGACACACUUUCAGAAUGUGACGAGGACCUGAGGGUCUGGAAAUAACUGGGAAAGAAAAGCCUUGUGGAAAGAAGACAUCUCCAGGGAAAACAUGCUGCUUCUUCAAAGACUCCAAUUUCAGAUGGCAAAAUGCAUGGAAGCUGAGAUGGACCUUCUGGAGUUUUCGAUAAACCACUGUAGCUCAGUCAGAGGUCCAAUUAUGAUGAUACCCACACAGCCCGGUCCUCCCACAGCCUACAUCCAAUCCUCUGAGGAAGCUGAGUGGCACUGCCUUUAUUCACCACAGAUGCUACAGAAUCAGCAGGAAGGAAGACUGUGAAAAGGAAAAAUGCACUCUUUUAAGGUGAAGACAAAGUAAGAAGACAGGCCGUUUGUGAACGAAGAAGCAGUCCCUCACCAGACACCGGAUCUGCCAGUGCCUGGAUCUUGAAUCUGCUGGUGCCUUGAUCUUGGAUUUCCCAUUCUCCAGAAUUGGAAUUGACGUGAAAAGAAUGGAAACAUAAAAAGGAAAACGGAGACCUUUCAUGAACAAAGUAGAAUUCCUUGGAAAUGUGGUGCAGGUUGACAUUAUGUGGUUGUACAAGCAUCGGGUUGGCAUCUGCUCAGCUUCUGAGGAGGCCUCAGGGAGCUUUUACUCAUGGUGGAAGGCAAAAGGGGAACAGGCAUGUCACAUGGCAAAAGCUGGAAUAAGAGAGGUGAGGAGCCUCAUACUUUUAAACAACCAGAUCACAUGAAAACUUACUAUUGCGAGUUACAGCACGAAGAGGAUGGUGCUAAACCAAUCAUGAGAAAUCUGCCCCAAUGAUCCAAUUACCUCCCACCAGGCCCUGCUUCCAACAUUGAGGACUAUAUUUCAACAUGAUAUUUGGGCAGGGACAAAUAUCCAAACUAUUUCACCUUGCAAUCUAGCUUAUACCUACUUCUGGCUCUUAGAAAUCUAUCUAGGUCUAGAAGUCUGUUUUCUACUUGUCCACAAGAACAGUUUGACACUCAGUCCUCCUUAGUCAGCUUGGAUUGCUAUAACAAAAUAUGACAUAUUGGGUGGCUUAAAUAGCAGACAUUUGCUUCUCACAGUUUUGGGAGCUGGGAAGUCCCGUAUCAAGGUGCCAAUACAUUCAGUUCUUAAUGAUAUGGCUCUUCUUAGUUUGCAUAUGGCCACCUUCUCACUGUGUCUUCACUUGUGGGGCAGGGGGAGAGAGAGCUCUGGUGUCUCUUCCUCAUCUUAUAAGGACACUAGUCCUACAAGGCUCCAUCCUCAUGAGCUCAUCUAAACAUAAUUACCUCCCAAAGGCCCCACCUCCAAAUAAAAUCACGUUGGAAGUUGGGACCUCAACAUGUAAAUCAAGGGGGGGAUACAAAUUAGCAGUCCAUGGCAUCUUUAAUCGAAAUAUUUACAUUAAAGACCCUUUAUAUUUCUGUGUAACUAAAUACAAUAUUCGGCUCUUUCUUUUGAGGUCUUCACAAUCAGUGAGAUUUGAGAAUACUUCAAACUUAUUUUGGUACAUACACUUCCAAUGUUCACUAUGAAUUUAAGAUUAUAUUUGAAAAUUUCUUACCUGAUAUUUUAAAAAUAAAUUGUAUUGGUCCUGGCAUAAAUAUGCUUACCUACAUAAAAGGCUGGGAGCAUCACCACAGAUUUAUUCUAUUAAAUGCUAGAUUCAGAAAAAUAAAGGCAAGGAAACUAUUUGGUCCUAUAUCAUUGCAUAUUGACUUAUAAUGUGCCUAAGGAAGUUAAUAUUAUCAAAAAAUCUUGUCAAAUUAUAACAUAUGCCAUAUAAAAUGUACUGUACUUGCAGAAUGUCAAGUAAAUUAGUAGAAUGCAUGAAGUAAAAUGUGUGAUGAGGAUAAGGGCAGUAGAGACAGAAAUAAAUUAUGAAAAGAAAGAAGAAAACAAGUGCCUUAAGUAUAAUUUAUUAGUCUUAGUUUAUCAAAUCCUAUUUCAGCUCUUAAAAAUUAUUAUUUAAAAAACCCAACAGUCCACAAAAUUGAAUGAAAAUAAGAAAACUCAAACAUGCCCAUGCCUUUUUCUCACCAUUUCUUCUAUUCGUCAUUUCUAAAUAUAACCAGUGAGCAGGUGCUGUUCCUACUAGCCUGAAAAAGUCAAUGCAGAUUCCAAGAACCAACUUCACACUCACCAAUAAAUGAAUGUCUUCUCAUUGCCUAAGGAUCCAUUUGAAUGUAUCUAGGACUGAUUAUUGAUUUGCUGAGCUCCAACUAUAUGUCUGUCAUUGUACAGGGCGUGUGGAACAUAUGGUAAAAGCAUGAUACAAGGCCUCUAGUCUUAAACAUUUUAUGUUCUAUUUGAGAAGAGAACUUUAAUUGAAAAAGGAUUUAAUCAUAUAGAAUAUAACACAAAUAUAUUGUACAUAGUAAUGAAGAUCAUUGUAUGCUGAGAUAGCUAAGAAAUCAAAUCUUUAAUUAGGCUAUAAAUCAGAAAACAUUGUUUUAAAUCUGGUUUCCACUACUUCCCAGUGGUAUGAUUUUAGGGAAAUCACCUCAUUUCUCUGACUCUUGGUCUCCUCAUCUGAAAAGGUCAGUGAUAGUACUUAUGUCAGAGGUUUCUUUGGAAGAUAAAAGAUGAGGCACUAGAAAUGUAAUGCGUGACAUAAAUAAGCCAUGUGAUCAGCAUUAGUUGAAUUAGAAGAUGAGAAGGAUCUGGACAGGCUAAAAUAAAGCAGGCAGAUAUUUCUAGGAGAAGCAAAACAUAAAUGUAAAAUGUCAAACUUUAGGAUAUAAAUAAAUAACUUGUUUUCUCUUUUGUUUUAGACUAACGUAUAUUGAAAAUUUUGGUAGUCCUGUUAAUUCGAAUCACCAACACAUUAAUUUCUCAGUUGUAUCAGAAAUAUUUUCUCUGGAAAUAUUUGCUAAAUCUGUGCCAGUUCUGAAUAUUUUUUGGCAGGAAGGGUGGGGACUAUUUGGACCAUUGUAUCUUUUCAGAUCUCUACUUAGAACUCUGUAAAAUAUUGCAUACUCAAAAUGGAAUUCAAAGCCUGUAAUUAUGUAUCAGCUCAUAAGUAAUUUUCUGAAUUGUCACCUUUUCCUAAUUUUGGAUUGUGUUUUCUAUUUCGAAAUGAAAUGUUGGCAUGCCUACUAUUUUUUUCUUCUUCAAAUCUGGAUGCCCAACUGUCGAACUUCUAAAAUUUUACUUCCUACAGCGGAAUGAACAUGUUCUUAAAUACACUUUUAAAUUUUUGCUCUGAGUUAUUUUGCCAAAGCAAGGGAGUCUUUAUGACAGAAGAGAGUUGCUUGCAACAAACAAAGAAGGAAGAAGGAAUUUUUCCAAACACAGGCAUUUUAUAAAUUACCUAAUACGUGCAAGAGGUUAUUGAAGCUGUCUUUUCAAGAGCUUACACGAUCUCUUUGGCUUUUUUUAUCUUUCACAUUUUAAAUUUUGCUGCUGUCAUGUGUAUUUAGAGUCACAUUAUUUAAAUGCAGCCAUAAAUAAGCAGAUUUUGCAAAAGAUUCAAAUCUGUAGCAUUUUUAGCUCACAAACAGUUCCAAUAGUGGUGUGUAAUUGGAAGACUGAAUUCUGGUACUAUUUAGACUUAGUUUAAAAUACGGGUCUUCCAUUCAUUAACUUCAUGGCUUUGAAGAAGUCACUUCUCAUCCCAGAGUCUGUUUCCCAAUCUGUGAAUUGGGGAUAAUAAUAAAUAAUGAGCACACAGAGUCUAUAAGGGUCAUAUUUGAUAGUAAAUGUAAAGGUAAAUGGGACAAGAUAGUGGAGUAAGACUUUCCAGCACUGUCUCCACACACACAGAAAUACCAAUUUAAACAAUUGUCCACAGAUGAAAAUACCUUCACUAGAGCUAAGAAAACCAGGUGAGAGAUCACAGUUUCUGGUUGUGGCACAAUGAUGUAAAAAGAUGCAUUGAAUAGGGUAGAAAAGACAAUUUUACAUUACCCACACUACCUUUUCCCCAGUCCCAGGCAGCACAGUGUGGAGAGAGAUAGCAUCUGCUUGGGGGAAAGAAAGGGAAGUGAGCACAGGACUUUGUCUUGGACCCACAUUGGGCCCACCAGAGUAAAACCGAGCACUGGGCAGACUCCCCAAGGACCCAUAUACUAGGCCAGUAUCACAGACUGAGCCCCUAGACCCACCCUGGCAUGAGGUGGAAUCACACAGCCCCAGGCUUCAAGCUUGUAUGGUGAACUUGACCUAUGGCCUGCACCAACACCAGACCAAUGUCAGCAGCUUUGGGCUCUGGACAGCUCUAAGUGGCCUCUGGCUAUAUGCAUCUCAGUAUUAUAUUAGCCACAGCUGCCUCAGGCUUAUCAUCUGCUUUAGCACACAUUUGUCAUAGCAGGCCACAGGCUUCUGGCAAUACUACGACAGCCAUAUCUGCCUCAGGCUACCAGCCUAUACCAGGACUAUACCUGCUGCAGGGCUUUCCAAGACAAAGCCAGCCUGUGAAAACUGGAAUAACCCAGUUCUGUACCCACUUCUUCAAAUGUCCAGGCAUCAGUGUACAAUAACAAGAAUCAAGAACAAUCAGGGAAAUAAGACAUCACCAAGUGGACAAAGUAAGGUGCUAGUGACUGACCCUAAAGAAAUGGAUAUGUAUAAGAUGACUGACAAAUAAUUCAAAAUAACUGUUUUAAUGAAGUUCAGCAAACUUCAAUAAAACAGAGAAACAAUUUAAUGAAAUAAAAAAAUGUAACCAGAAUGAUAAAUUUAAUAAAGAUAUUAAAAUAAUUUAAAAAAUCAAAUAGUAAAUGUCAAGUGGAAAUUAAAAGGAGCUCUUUAAUUAUAGCUAUUAUUAUUUUUAUUAGAGAAAAAACUGAUCAUCAUUCAAAGCAUAUGAAAAAAAUUGUGGCAUGGGGAUAUUGAGAAAGUGUGGUCAAUUUCAGCUUAUAGACCCUGAAUUAUGUAGGUGGUAUUGCAUAAUAACAUAUAAUAGAGAACAAAAUGAAUAGGACAGGCAACAGGUGUAUAGGAGUAAUUGUUCAUAAUCGAAAAUCAUCAGUGCUUUAUUUAGUGAAAAUCAGUUAUUACCUCAUUUUCUCCAGGAAGAUUUCAUAGAGGCAAAUGGUAGCAGAAGGGAUUCUUUUGCCAGUGGUCAAUGGGAAAUCAAAUCAUUUUUGACAUUAAAAAGACAAGCCCAGCUUUAAAAGUCUAAAUAUUCCUCAGUAAAUGUAUACUGGAAAAAUCCCUUACUACAUUUAUUUUCUCUCUUAAGAACUUUAAAAAGGCAAUUUACAUGGCAUUCAAAAUGGUCAAUAUGGUAGGCUGAAUAAUGGUCCUACAAAAUAUAUCUUUUAAUCACCAGGAUUUGUAAAUGGUACAUUACAUGGCAAAUAAAAAUACUAAGCAGGUGUAAUUAAAUUCAAGAUCUUACGAUGAGAAGAUUAUCCUGGAUUAUCCAGGUGGGCCCUAAUGCAAUCACAGGACUCCUUAUAAGGAGAGGCAGAGAGAGACUUGACACAGAAUAGAAAGAAAUGAGUGAAAGAAGCAGAGGGAAGUAGAGUCAAAAGAAAAGAUGUUUUGCAACUGUCUUUGAAGGUGGAGGAAGGGGCCAUGGGCUAAAGAAUACAAGAAAUGCUGUUCUAAACACUGGAAAAGGUCAGGACAUAAAUUCUCACCUCAGUCCUCUUGAGGGAGCAUGAACCUGUUGUCACUUUCAUUUCAGCUCAAUGAUCCUUAUUUUAAAUUUCUGUCCUCUGGAUCUGUGAAAGAAUUUUUUUUUUGUUGUUCUAAACUACAAAUAUUUUCCAGGCAUAGGAAAUUAACACAGUAGAUAAAAUAUAUGUGUCUAUAUCUUUUUCUCGUAAAUCUCCAUUAAACAUAAGAAAUUUUAGUUUUUCAACAAUAGCAAUUAAAAUAGGAGGGAUAGCAUGGGCAAGAAAUGUCAACAGAUUUCUGGUAGAUGAUAAAGUGACAUAAAUAUAUGCAGAGGAGGCUGAAUUGUGAAAGGGCAUGGGUGCCAAGAGGAACAUAAGAGAAACUCAAGAAUCUGAGAGGGAAGCGGUGGUGAUGGAUGGAAAGGAGUAAUACACAGGACUAACAAGAUGAAUAUUUACUGAAGAUUUCUACAUUGUUCACUUAGGGUCCUCAAGCCCCUCUUGCUUCUACAUUCAGGAUGAUCUCCAGCCAGACAUUCACAUCCAGUUUCCAAAAAAGCACAGUUCUUUUUAAAACUAAAACUGAAUAAACUGUAUAGAGGGAACCAGGCAAAUUUAUUUGGAUGCUGGUAUCUGGAAGAAAAUCUUGCAUUUUGGCAUGUUGAGGAACUGUAGCAUAACAACUUCCUGACCUUUCAAGCUGAAACAAAUCCUGCUGUUGGCCCAGAGGACAGAGUUAGCCAUCUAUCUUAUUUCUUCACAUUUAAGUUUAAACAGGCAACAACACAUUACUGCCUUUUGAGGAAAGCCUGCAAGAGAAAAAUGUGAGAUAGAGAAACUGAUCCAAGAAAAAAACAUUUAUCAGGAAAGAUAAAAAAAAAAAAAGUUACAUUACAAUUGUAACUAGAUCCACUUUGAUUUUGAAGAUGUUUUAUACAUCAAGAAAAGGAUGUCACGAAUAAGGAACAGAAGACAGAAUUUACAAUUACAAAAAAGAAAUCCAGAAUUGAAAUAUAAAAAUUAAUAAAACUUCCAGAACCUAUUAUAAAGACAAAGACAGAAAUAUGAGAAGGAAGAAAAUAAAAUGUAUAAAACAGGAGUUCUAACAUCAAAUUAAUAGAUUUUUAAAAAAUAAAUGGCAGGAAGGAAAUUAGGAAAGUGAAGAAAACCUUCCAGAAUUAAAGCAAUGAGUCUUCCAAUUUAGAGGCUGACCAAAUACUGACAAAUUAAGUGUACUUAGACAUAUCAUUGCGAAAUUUUCUCACAUUAAGUAUUCUUAAAAUUUCCAGAGAGAAACAUACUUUAUAAAAUGUUUUUAAAAAGACGCAGAAUUAAAUUGGUGUCAGACUUCCCAUAAACAGCAUGCAAUGCUUGAAAACAAUGCUCUGAGGGAAAUGAUUUUUAACCUAGAAAAAAUACUUAGUGAAACAACCAAUCUACUGGGAGAGAGACAACUUGCAUACAUUUUCAGCAUACAAGGAUUUAGAAAAUUUACCUCCCACACUCACUUUCCUAGGAAGCUUCUUGAGGGUGUAUUCUAAAAAAUAAGACAAAAUAUAAGAAAGAGGAAGUCAUGAGAUUCAGGAAACAGUGGCUGAACGCCCAGGAGAAGAGUGAAUGGAAGUGCCAGGACUGCAACUGCAUAGCAGAUCUAGGAAGCAACCAGUCAAUAUUGGAGCAGGAAGAUGCAAAACUCUGCAAGAAAAACCUCUGGGAAAUAAAGAGGACACCAUACAAUAAUAGUAACUGUGUGAGAGAGACUAGAAAUAUCAAGAACUGGAUAAAAAUUUUAAAAAAUGCAAGAAGAAAAAUAAAGACCUACUCAAAUUUCAGGAAACAAAAGUCAACAAGAGUCAAAUAGAACAGCAUGGGCUACAGGCAAUUGAGAGAAUAAAUAUGAAUUGGAAAAAUAUUGUGAUUAAGUUUCUAUUACCAGUAAUAGUGAAAAAUAGAAGCAGAAAUUAGAGAAAGCCAAAUAAAACUCAAGAAAUACACUGUCAAAAUACAAACUAAAUAAAAGUUGUAUCAUGCUUUUAAGCAUAGGCUGGGUAUGAAAAGAGAUUCAUCAUUUGAACAUGAUGCUAAGAGUACUUUACUUUGGAUAUCUCCAAAAUAGUAUUUAGUAUCUAUAAUAGAAAUAUAGAUGGAAAUGAUAAUAUCUCAUUAAAUAGCCCUGUAGUAGUUAGAUCAUCAUGAUAACUUAAACAAGGUUUUUGCCAUUUCAGCUUUUAGAGUCAACCUAUAUACAGAGCAUGAAAGCCUUAAUUAUGGUCACGAUAAAUGAAAAUAUUAUAAAUUUUCAUAAGGUAAGAGUAAAAACAACAGAAGUAGGGAGGUUGUUGGUAUCGGGAGACAUUAAAUAGAAGGAAGGGUAAAGAUUCUAAUACCAUUAUCUUAAAGAAUUAUGGCUUUACUUAAAGGAACAAAUAGAGGUUGAAGUGCAUUAUUUAAUGGGGCUUGAUAUAAAAUUUAAAGUGAGUUAGAGUAAUAUUUAUGCAAACGAAAGAUGAUACAAUGAUAUUGGUAGCGAAAGGAUAUAACUGAAUUAAA